UCACACUGGUUCCUCUCUCAGCCUUACUUCACUUACACCAAAUCAGUCUAACUGCUGCAGUCCCGCCAAAGUUACGCGGCGUUCACGUUAGCAGCUGACAAGCUAUCUGUUGCAAGACUUGUAGGAGGCAUUUACAAGUUUUAACUUUACUCGCAGUGAAAUUAGCAUCUGGCAGUAUUAACAGCACUUGUGCUAACCUGCUAGCAUGUCAAGCUAAUGCCAGCUGGUGUUGUGGACACUAGCUCAGCGACCAGGACAGAAAGGACGCGUGAUAUUUUAAUAUCUCCAUUUCUAAAGAAUGAAUUAAAAAAUAGAAAAACACGCUCUUGCUGGGGACGGGGUCGGUUCCUCUUUUACAGAGAGUCCCCCCCACCACACACACACACACACACACACACACAGUAUCGAGAUUGGCGUCGAAAGCUACCGGGCUAAAUUAAGCCAGCAGUAACGUUAACUUAGCUGGCCACCAAACAUUAGAUUACAUCCGAUUGCGCCUGGCCCUCAACCCUACCUCUUUGUUAUAAUCCAAGCCCGGACUCGAUGACCUUUGAAGGGAGAAGAUAAAGAAUACAAAUUGUGUGGGAGGUUGUAGAUGUGGUUUGUGAUAUAAUGUUCUUGUAAAGAAAGUUAUGAAGGAAAGAAAAACAGCAUCUGCCCCCACACUGGUCCUGUUUGAGAGGUGUCACUCUUUCAAGGAUUGGGGUUUGCACACAGUGCAGAAGAGCAACGCAGCACCAUGGCAACACACGCGAUGUUCACUAAAUGUCAACAAAUAUCAAAUUGCACACAGUCCUGUAACAGAAUGUCAGCUGAUAAGGAAUUAAAGGCUCACUUAGGCAAUUACACUCUUUGCGUAGAAAAACUGUUUUUAUUUAUAUACAUUCUCCAACAUUUGAAAAGUAAUAAAUUCUGCAAUUUCUGUAAUUUGUUAUUCCACGUCUUCAUUUAUCUGUGAUUGACUUAUAGACUACAAAAUGUUAAUAAUGCGGCACAGUGAAGAAUAUGCUGAAUAUAGUUUGCAGAAUAAUUAAUCCUGGACAAACAUUAUGUUUUAUUUCUUUUGAAAACAUGUGAAAGAAAUAUUGUAGACUUGUAAGACUGCAAAACCUUGCUUCCCCAGCUUUGAUUAGGAGUUCAGGUGACUUGAAGUCUACCUUGUGGAUUUAUGCUGCCCUCUUUUGUUCAGUCUGUGAAACUGAAUAUCGACUUCAGUCUGGUAAGUGAGUCGGUUGAGUUGCCUCCCGUCGGGCAAUCACAAGCCCAGGGUCUGGACAACUGUAAGCAGUGGGGAUUUAACCCAUUUUAAUGUUACUACUUUGCAGUGAUUAGGUUCAUUAAACAAAGAAGUUUACAUAUACGGAAGUAGCCAGUAUAUGCCCAGCUCAGUUCCUUUGUUAGGAGACAGUAAAAGACCCCAGUUGAUGCUGCCACAGCAUUGGUUUGUCCAACAUGUGACAGAGAUUCUAUUACUGAUUACUAAGUGUUUGUGAUGUUCUGAAGCUACAGCAAAUCAAUCAGUGUGCCGAUUCAUUCAGCACAUGGGAAGCGUAGCUGAUGUACAAUCAAUGCUAGAUGUGACAGCAGCACUGAUGCAGACAGCUGAUUUUUUCAGUGCUGGGUAUAAAUGCUGAAUGAUAUGAUGGGAAGAUAAAAAUAUGUGAACCAAAAUGAAUGAAUGAAAACAUUCCUAACAGGCAGCUGCAGACAGACAGGGCCCAACAGCAGAGCUUUGGAUCCUCUCUGAAUGCAUGCUUGGUUAGAUUAGCCUCCUUUUUAUUCGCUUACACUCCCCGUGGCAAAGCAGCAACACUAGAUUAUCCU